GAUGAACGCUGGCGGCGUGCCUAAUACAUGCAAGUCGAGCGAACAGACGAGGAGCUUGCUCCUCUGACGUUAGCGGCGGACGGGUGAGUAACACGUGGAUAACCUACCUAUAAGACUGGGAUAACUUCGGGAAACCGGAGCUAAUACCGGAUAAUAUAUUGAACCGCAUGGUUCAAUAGUGAAAGACGGUUUUGCUGUCACUUAUAGAUGGAUCCGCGCCGCAUUAGCUAGUUGGUAAGGUAACGGCUUACCAAGGCGACGAUGCGUAGCCGACCUGAGAGGGUGAUCGGCCACACUGGAACUGAGAAACGGUCCAGAAUCCUACGGGAGGCAGCAGUAGGGAAUCUUCCGCAAUGGGCGAAAGCCUGACGGAGCAACGCCGCGUGAGUGAUGAAGGUCUUCGGAUCGUAAAACUCUGUUAUUAGGGAAGAACAAAUGUGUAAGUAACUAUGCACGUCUUGACGGUACCUAAUCAGAAAGCCACGGCUAACUACGUG
rnacentral:rRNA from 1 species